UGAAAGGGAAACGAUUGAAGUCAGUCGUACCUGCGGGUAAUCAGCCUUUUGGGCAUGAUUCUGUGGAGCGUGAGGAGUUAAACGCCUUCAUGCCUGCAUAUUCGUGUACUUUGGGUGUACUUGCCUGUGUGGUUAGUUAACAUCAAUUUUGGUUAUCAUAAAAUGGCUGGAGGAAUGUAGCUUCGAUUUCGAUUGAAGUAUUAUAGACUUCGGCAGAUGUGAUGAUCGGGAUUGAGGAUUGCAACGGAUACCCUUCGGGGCUACCUGUCUGAUCUCUGAUCGUUGCUCUGGUGCCGAAAGCGUGCUUACGGUUAUCAAAGUCGAUGGUUAAUAGGUUAGAAUGGGUUAAAUUCGUUAAGGAUGUUGACGUA
rnacentral:rRNA from 1 species